CCUACGGGGGACAGCAGUGAGGAAUAUUGGACAAUGGGCGCGAGCCUGAACCAGCCAAGUAGCGUGAAGGAUGAAGGCCCUACGGGUGGUAAACGUCUUUUAUAAAGGAAUAAAGUGAGGCACGUGUGCCUUUUUGUAUGUACGUUAUGAAUAAGGAUCGGAUAACUCCGUGCCAGCAGCCGCGGUAAUACGGAGGAUCCGAGCGUUAUCCGGAUUUAUUGGGUUUAAAGGGAGCGUAGCUGGGUUGUUAAGUCAGUUGUGAAAGUUUGCGGCUCAACCGUAAAAUUGCCAUUGAUACUGGCAGUCUUGAGUACAGUUGAGGUAGGCGGAAUUCCUGUUGUAGCGGU
rnacentral:rRNA from 1 species